rnacentral:rRNA from 1 species
AACGAACGCUGGCGGCGUGCCUAACACAUGCAAGUCGAACGGAAUCAAGGGGCUUGCUCCUUGGUUUAGUGGCGCACGGGUGAGUAACGCGUGGAUAAUCUGCCCUGGUAUCCUGGAUAACAUUUCGAAAGAGGUGCUAAUACGGGAUAAGCCCACGGGGUCUUCGGACCUUGCGGGAAAAGGUGGCCUCUGAAUAUGCUACUGUAUCAGGAUGAGUCCGCGUACCAUUAGCUAGUUGGCGGGGUAACGGCCCACCAAGGCGACGAUGGUUAGCUGGUCUGAGAGGAUGAUCAGCCACACUGGAACUGAGACACGGUCCAGACUCCUACGGGAGGCAG